rnacentral:rRNA from 1 species
GACGAACGCUGGCGGCGUGGAUUAGGCAUGCAAGUCGAACGGUAUCAUCCUUUCGGGGAUGAGAGAGUGGCGAACGGGUGAGUAACACGUAGGUGAUCUACCCUCAAGACGGGGACAACCCAGGGAAACUUGGGCUAAUACCGGAUGUGAGCUAUCGCGAGAUAGUUUGAAAGGUGGCUUCGGCUGCCGCUUGGGGAUGAGCCUGCGUCCUAUUAGCUAGUUGGUGAGGUAACGGCUCACCGAGGCAGUGAUAGGUAGGCGGCCUUAACGGGUGGUCGCCCACACUGGGAUUGAGAUACGGCCCAGACUCCUACGGGAGGCAGCAGUCGAGAAUAGUCUACAAUGGUCGAAAGACUGAUAGUGCGACGCCGCGUGAACGAAGAAGCCCUUGGGGUGUAAAGUUCUUUUAUAUGUGAGCAGUGACAUCUAUAUUAAUAGGUAUGGGUGUAGAGAUAUUAGCAUAAUGAAUAAGACAACGGCUAACUCCGUGCC